CGCAAAUAUCUACAAUAAUUACUAGUGCAAAACCGCCAUAUACAAUUCCACCGAAAGCAGUUAUGUGCGCAGUGUGCUCGGGACCGGACUUCCUCUGUGAAAAACUGUACGAGAUCAAGCAAUGCUUUCCUCCGAAUAAUUACUGUGUAAACAAACUUGAAAAUCAUUAGGAUGGAACUAGAAAGGUUACCAGGGGAUGUGCUGAAUUCCAAACAUGUUACCGGGACUGGUUUUUAGGGAGCUCUGACAAUGACAAAUGUAGAAAUUUCGAGCAGAACAACAUUGUUACUUUAGAAUUUCAAUGUACCUAUUGUUGUAUCCAUGAUAACUGUAGUGUUCCAAUCAAGCCAGCAGAUGCG
rnacentral:lncRNA from 1 species